GGGGAUUUAGCUUAGUGGUUGCAGCGCCUGCCUUGUAAGCACAAGGACCUGAGUUCGAUCCUCGGUACCA
rnacentral:tRNA from 1 species